rnacentral:rRNA from 1 species
GACGAACGCUGGCGGCGUGCCUAAUACAUGCAAGUCGAGCGGACCACUUCGGUGGUUAGCGGCGGACGGGUGAGUAACACGUGGGCAACCUGCCUGUAAGACUGGGAUAACACCGGGAAACCGGUGCUAAUACCGGAUAAUCCUUUCCUUCACAUGAAGGGAAGCUGAAAGACGGUUUCGGCCGUCGCUUACAGAUCGGCUAGCGGCGCAUUAGCUAGUUGAUGAGGUAACGGCUCACCAAGGCAACGAUGCGUAGCCGACCUGAGAGGGUGAUCGGCCACACGGGGACUGAGACACGGCCCAGACUCCUACGGGAGGCAGCAGUAGGGAAUCUUCCGCAAUGGACGAAAGUCUGACGGAGCAACGCCGCGUGAGCGAUGAAGGCCUUCGGGUCGUAAAGCUCUGUUGUCAGGGAAGAACAAGUACCGGAGUAACUGCCGGUACCUUGACGGUACCUGACCAGAAAGCCACGGCUAACUACGUGCCAGCAGCCGCAGUAACAC